ensembl:lncRNA
GUAGGCAAAUCUUGUACUGUAGUUUAAUUAAAAAAAAGUAACUUCUGGUGGGCUGUCAAUCCAGAGUUGGAGUUCACUUGUGUUAUCCAGCAUGAGAUAUAAUUUUCAUCAGAAAUGGCAGUCUGGGGACAUACUGAGCUGCGUUUAAUAGGCAUCAUUUUCCAUACACAUCCCUCUUCAAUCAGUGGAGCACCACUGCAGGGUGGCUGAGCAGGCUUGUGUUUUAUUCUUUCAAAACCUAUUUUGGCAUGAUGAGUUUACCUAAGCAGUGCAUGCUGAUAAGAGAAGAGACAACUCACAUACAGCUGAAAGUGAAAAUGGAUCGCUAAACAGCACCAAUGAAGAGGACGAAAUGGAGUCACG